rnacentral:ncRNA from 2 species
UUUUCAUCAAGAGUUGGCUGAGGGACUGGCCCUAUGAAGCCGCGGCAACCAUCGCAUAUGCAUUUGCAUUGGCGGAACGGUGCCAAUUCCUGCAGAAGCCCGCAAGGGACUGGCAGAUGAAGA